UAGGGAAUAUUGCAAAAUGGGCGAAAGCCCGAUGCAGCAACGCCGCGUGGGCGAUGAAGGCCUUCGGGUCGUAAAGCCCUUUUUGAGGGGAUGAGGAAGGACAGUACCCUCAGAAUAAGCCUCGGCUAACUACGUGCCAGCAGCCGCGGUAAAACGUAGGAGGCGAGCGUUAUCCGGAUUUACUGGGCGUACAGCGCGUGCAGGCGGAUUGGAGAGUUGGCUGUGAAAGCUCCCGGCUUAACUGGGAGAGGUCGUUCAAUACUUCCAGUCUUGAGUGCAGUAGAGGGAAGUGGAAUUCCGGGUGUAGUGGUGAAAUGCGUAGAUAUCCGGAGGAACACCAGUGGCGAAAGCGGCUUCCUGGACUGUAACUGACGCUCAGACGCGAAAGCUAGGGUAGCAAACG
rnacentral:rRNA from 1 species